ACCUGCCGAUAACUCGGGGAUAGCCUUUCGAAAGAAAGAUUAAUACCCGAUGGCAUAAUUAGACCGCAUGGUCUUAUUAUUAAAGAAUUUCGGUUAUCGAUGGGGAUGCGUUCCAUUAGGCAGUUGGUGAGGUAACGGCUCACCAAACCUUCGAUGGAUAGGGGUUCUGAGAGGAAGGUCCCCCACAUUGGAACUGAGACACGGUCCAA
rnacentral:rRNA from 1 species